rnacentral:rRNA from 1 species
AACGAACGCUGGCGGCAUGCCUAACACAUGCAAGUCGAACGAAGUCUUCGGACUUAGUGGCGCACGGGUGCGUAACGCGUGGGAAUCUGCCCUUGGGUGCGGGAAUAACUUCUCGAAAGGGAUGCUAAUACCGCAUAAUGUCGUAAGCCAAAGAUUUAUCGCCCAAGGAUGAGCCCGCGUAAGAUUAGCUAGUUGGUGGGGUAAAAGCCUACCAAGGCGACGAUCUUUAGCUGGUCUGAGAGGAUGAUCAGCCACACUGGGACUGAGACACGGCCCAGAC